rnacentral:rRNA from 1 species
AUUGAACGCUGGCGGCAGGCCUAACACAUGCAAGUCGAACGAGUCGCGGGCGGGUUAGCAAUGUCUGUGAAACUGCCCGAUGGAGAGGGUUAACUACCGGAAACGAAUGCUAAUACCGCAUACCAUCGGCUAUGCCCAGAUGGGAUUAGCUAGUAGGUGGGGUAAAGGCUGACCUAGGCGACGAUCCCUAGCUGGUCUGAGAGGAUGAACAGCAACACUGGAACUGAGACACGGUCCAGACUCCUACGGGAGGCAGCAGUGGGGAAUAUUGGACAAUGGGCGAAAGCCUGAUGCAGCCAUGCCGCGUGUGUGAAGAAGGCCUUCGGAUUGUAAAGUACUUUAAGCGAGGAGGCGUUACUCGCAGAAGAAGCACCGGCUAACUCCGUGCCAGCAGCCGCGGUAAUUC